ACUUUAAGUUGGGAGGAAGGGCAGUAAGUUAAUACCUUGCUGUUUUGACGUUACCAACAGAAUAAGCACCGGCUAACUUCGUGCCAGCAGCCGCGGUAAUACGAAGGGUGCAAGCGUUAAUCGGAAUUACUGGGCGUAAAGCGCGCGUAGGUGGUUUGGUAAGAUGGAUGUGAAAUCCCCGGGCUCAACCUGGGAACUGCAUCCAUAACUGCCUGACUAGAGUACGGUAGAGGGUGGUGGAAUUUCCUGUGU
rnacentral:rRNA from 1 species